UCCCCGCACUCCCGCAAUAAGGUCUCAUUAAGGAACCGGUAUUUUCAUUCUGGUUCAACCGCAACCCAGAGGAAGAGGAAGGGGGUGAGAUUGUUUUUGGUGGUGUUGAUCCUGCUCACUAUAAGGGAAAGCACACUUACGUGCCUGUGACCAAAAAAGGAUAUUGGCAGUUUGAUAUGGGAGAUGUACUUAUUGCCGGUAAACCCACUGGAUAUUGUGCUGAUGGUUGUUCAACCAUUGCAGACUCAGGGACUUCUUUGUUGGCAAGUCCAACG